AUCAGUUAAUAUGAUUCUCGACAUUAACUGAUUAAUGGUAGAAAACCACAGGACCAUUUUUAAACUGCAGAAAAGAGCCUUUGAUAAAAUUAAUAUCCAUUCAUCAUCAAAAUUCUCAGAAAGAUGAGGAAAGAAGAGAAGUUCUUAUAACUGAGAAAGGAUAUCUAAGAACAUGAAGAAAAUGUUAUACUUAGUAUUGAAAUGUUGAAAUGUUUCCCUUUGAGAUCAUGGGGCAAAGCAGCAAUGCCUGCUACCAUUACUGCUAAGCCACAGUGUGCAGGCUGCAUCACUUAGUGACUAAACAAGGCUACACCAUAUGCAGUGCUUCUAGUUCUGUGCUAGUAAUAAAAUGUUGCUCCCAUUUCACACAGAUAAGGCCAUUCCAGUGUGAAGACACUAGAUGAAUAUGAAAUAUUAAAAUCAUGUUCUGUUCCUGGAUGGUCAUGCAUUUGUGGACUCUUCAAUGACUAAUGAUGAUGAGAGCUUAGCUUGAAACCCAUAUCAUACUAAUAAUUAUCAGUUUCCCUACUUGCAUGAAGAAUUGAGUUGCAGUCAAAACACUUACCACAUUUCUAACAUGUACCUUUUCUUUUAUGGAUACACUUUGAUGAGUGAAAAGAUUUGACCUACAAUGGAAACAUUUACCACAUUAUAGUAUUUGUAUGACUUCAUUCUUCCAUGCUGUACAUUUAUUAGGUUUAUUUUCUGCAAGGACUUUCUGAGCACUACACAGCAUUGAUUAAAAACCAACAUCUCAAUAUGGCUUUUCUACCAUCUUGAAUGGUUGUAUAUUAAUAAGAAUGUGUCUAAAUUUCUUACCCUUCAUAAACAUGUAUUGGGUUCCAAACUGAUGUGCAAGCUGUCAUGUCUAACAAGGCUUGACUUUGACAAAAAUUUCCAACAUGAGGAACGCACAUCCUCUGUUUUCCAAUUGUGUCACUAGUGUUGUUACAUCCCUUGGGUAUCUCCUCUAUAACCUCUUCCGGAUAGCUACUUUGGGUUUGUGGGAAUUGCUCUACUAUAUAGAAGUCUUUGCUAAACAGCUCCUCUUCCUCUGUAUCUAUGGGAAGAUUGAUCUACAUGUAUGAUACUUUGUUUGGAACUUUCUGGUUCACUGAUUUUUUUUAACUUAAAAAAUAUGUACUUCACUCCUGCAGAGUAUGUCUGAAAAUCCUGUGCCCUGUAUUCCUAGUAAGUUCCACUUGCCAGGCAAAGAAACAAAGGAGGACAUGAAGACAGAAAUGUGUUUAAUUAGCCACAUAGCUAUACAAAACUUUAUUGAACAUUCAAAGGUAUGUACAUAAUUGUCACUUAAUUUUGUGUCAGUUGAUAAAGAAUAAACAUUAGACUAAUAUACACCAGCGUAGUGUUUCCAAAGGAGUCACAAAUACCUUUGCAUUCAGGCAUAGACCUUCCACAAACGUUAAAUGUUUGAGGAUGAAUGCAAGUAAAUGGGAAACAAAUGACCAAGUGCUGCUCGCAGCCCUAUUCCCUCAUGUAGAUUUUGACAUUAAAAGAAAGAAAUCCCUUUCUCUGUUACCUUCUCUCAAUGUCCAGUUCAGAAUUUCUGAAUUUGUAUAGACUGUGCCAAGCAGAAACCAAAAUUACUAUCCUAGAACAAUAACAGGAGAAAAGUGGGAUUUAUUUAGCAAUAACACAUUUCUGAAAUUGUCAUACGUGAUAUCACUGAGGUCCCAUGACAUCUUUUGAGAGGGUUUAUGGAUUUUCUAUUCCCCGAGGGACAGUGCGUAGGCACGUCUUGAAAGCUGACUACCAUUUUAACAAAGGAAGACCCCACAUAGAAUAAGAUACAGAGGACUGAAAGAAAAUGUGCAGAAAUGUUCUAAGAGAACAAAAACAAAAAAUAAUUAAUUUUAAGACUUACCUUAGGUUUCCUAACCAAGGUUUUUUUUUUUAAUCAAUAUAUUUUUCAACCAAAAUAUAUCAACAAUUAAAACAGGAGACAGAGACUGCAACCCCAUCACAUCCCGUAAUGUUCUUGAAUCUGACUCUCUCAGUCAUGGUUGGGUACUUACACCUCAAGAGUCUCUGAGGAGAAAUAUAGGCAGGAAAGCAUCUGGUUUCCUGAACAAAGAAAUGGGGAAAAAUCUCCAAUAAGGCUUUGAAGUCACUAAGAAUGCACUGGCCUGCCAUCCUGAGGAGCAUUUCACACUCAGAAGCCUACCUGAUGAUCUUAUGUAGAGUAAGUACAAUAUUGUCAUUUAUAAUAGGAAUUAUAUAUUUGAUCUUCCUCCUGUUUGUGGCACAGUACUCCUAAAACCCUUGGAAUUUCCUGUGAAGAGAGUGAUCAAAAUGUCUCUUUUUUUAUUAAAGGACUGUUGGUAUACAAUCUUAUGUUGGUUUCAAAUGUACAUCCCAGUGGUUCAACAGUCCCUGUGAUCAACUUAUAUUGUGAUUGUAAAUUAUUGUACCCUUAUAUCCCCCUCUGUCUGACACCCACCUCAGCCCUACCCCCUUGGUAACCCCUAGUCACUUUUCAGUGUCUAUGAGUCUAUUGCUGUUUUGCUUCUUCAGUUUUGCUUUGUUUUUAUAUUCCACAAAUAGGUGAAAUCAUAUGGUAUUUGUCUUUCUCUGCCUGGCUUAGUUCACUGGCAUAAUACUGUCUAGAUCCAUCCAUGUCGUUGCAAAUGGCAGGAUUUUUAUGGCUGAAUAAUAUUCCAUUGU